rnacentral:rRNA from 1 species
GAAUCAACGCUGGCGGCGUGCCUAACACAUGCAAGUCGAACGAGAAAGGGGAGCAAUCCCUGAGUACAGUGGCGACCGGGUGAGUAACACGUGACUACCUACCCUUGAGUGGGGGAUAACCUCGGGGAAACCGAGGCUAAUACCGCAUAAUAUCGCAAGAUCAAAGGAGCAAUCCGCUCUUGGAGGGGUCGCGGCUGAUUAGCUAGUUGGUAGGUAAUGGCCUACCAAGGCGAAGANCAGUAUCCGGCCUGAGAGGGCGGACGGACACACUGGGACUGAGACACGGCCCAGACUCCUACGGGAGGCAGCAGUGGGGAAUUGUUCGCAAUGGGCGCAAGCCUGACGACGCAACGCCGCGUGGAGGAUGAA